ensembl:lncRNA
UCCAGUUGUACGUUCACACCUAUGCGUCAGCCAGUGCGUAAACAAAGUGAAAAUGAUCACGUGUAUUGGCAUAGGCUGGAGGCCAGUAUUGCAGGUGAAAUUAAAGUUUCUAAUGCGGUCAUGCACUGGUCAGGACUUCAUAAGCAUGUCAACCUUACAUGGCACAUUCCUUCUUUCCGACAUCUAUGGGGCUACUUAAAUCAGCCCUAAAGAUGUCGUUUUUCAUGCAGAUUGUGCGGUACGAACAGACGAGACAGUUUACCCUUUAUUAAUCUUUUAAUACAAGGCAGCCAUCUGCUGGUGGUCAAAGGUAUCACGGGAUACCCAUAAUGCACUCCAUACAGAAAGCAAAUAACAUUUAUAAAAACACCUGAAAAAAGGUUCAUACAUACACAUCAAUGAAUCCCGAUGACCAGAUCAUCUUUACACGGUAUAAGUGACCAGAUUAUCAAUAUUUUCAGCUCUGCGGACAUCAAUGCACAAGGAAAGUUGCUCCAAAGUUCUCCACAAUAAAGUACAGCAGAUACACUAUUUACAAGUCUGCGUCAGUCGAAGGUCCAUUCAAGCUCCCUGCUCACAACAGGGUUGCAAGGCGACUCUGCAG